rnacentral:misc_RNA from 1 species
GAUGAAGAACGUAGUGAAAUGCGAUACGUAAUGUGAAUUGCAGAAUUCAGUGAAUCAUCGAAUCUUUGAACGCAUAUUGCGCUCUCUGGUAUUCCGGAGAGCAUGCUUGUUUGAGUAUCAGUAAACACCUCAACUCCCCUUUCUUUUUUUGAAAUGGGAGCUGGACUUGAGUGAUCCCAACGCUUUUCUCACCGAAAAGUGGCGGGUUACUUGAAAUGCAGGUGCAGCUGGACUUUUCUCUGAGCUAAAAGCAUAUCUAUUUAGUCUGCCUAAAAAACAGAUUAUUACCUGUGCUGCAGCUAACAUAAAGGAGAUUAGUUCUUGUGCUGACUGAUGCAGGAUUCACAGAGACAGCUUCGGCUGGCCUUUGUAAACUCGAUCUCAAAUCAAGUAAGACUACCCGCUGAACUUAAGCAUAUCAAAAGCGGAGGA